rnacentral:tRNA from 1 species
GGAGGAUUACCCAAGUCCGGCUGAAGGGAACGGUCUUGAAAACCGUCAGGCGGGUAAAACCGUGCAAGGGUUCUAAUCCCUUAUCCUCCU